rnacentral:tRNA from 1 species
GGAGAGAUGCUCGAGUGGUUGAAGAGGCACGCCUGGAAAGCGUGUAUGCGCCAAAAGCGUAUCGAGGGUUCGAAUCCCUUUCUCUCCG